UAUCAGGGCCGUUGAUCUAAAGAUCCAACGGCUCAUAUCACUCCCACGCGUUUAAGUAGAGAUGGACUAACCUACCCAAAACCCCAAUCAUUUCCUUCCCCGACUCGGCCAUCCCCUUUCCCCUUCCUCUCUCUGUUCUCUCAACUCACAUAACCAAAUCAAUCACAAACCUUGCACAAAUUCGUGCAAGGUCGUGAAUCAACCAUAAAAUCAUCCCUUCUGCCUCCCCAAGCCGUGAUUCUCUCCAACUCCCUUCCCGUUUCAUCACUUGAAAUUCAAGUUCCUAAAUCUGAAACCCUAGAUUCAAUGAUGCAACAUUAAAUCUCAAGAUUUCUCUUAUGCGCUGUUAAAUCUAUGGCAUGCAUGGCCAUUUCUUUAGUGUUAUCAUCAUUAUUCUUUGUUAUCAUUAUUCUUUAGUGUUAUCAUCAUUAUUCUUUAGUGUUAUCAUCAUUGGGGCUUUUAUCUGGUGGAUUUUGCUUUCAACGGACAGUUUCCCCAUCUCAGGUAAAACUAUCACUGCUCUUACCUCUGUCUUCUCUGAUUUCACUCAAUGUUGCUCACAUCAUCUACUCUUCGUCACUCUUCACUAUCAUUUUGAAUCUGUGAAACUCUAAGGCAUUGAAUGCCACUAUAAAAAGGGUCAUUCAAUGCCCUCACCAGGAGAUAAUCUAAUACCAUCGGAAAUACAAAAAGAAAGAAAAGGCAAAAUUUGAGCUUUCCUCACUCUUUACUGUUUUCUUUUCUGGUCCUAAGUUCGAUUGCCUUAUUGGUCUUGAGUAUUGGAUCCUUAAACGGAUAUUGAAUCACUCUAGUUUGGUUUGCUACCCGGUAGAAGGUCAGUGUACACUGACCCUCCCUUUUUUCGAUUAUCUUUUUUUUCUAUGCUUACCAUGUCUGCUUCUGUUGAUUAUCUUUCGUUCAUGAUAUAUGUUAGAAGUUUAUGAUUGAUUAUUAGGUUCUGCUCUUAUAUGUUAUCCUUAUUGUUUAAGUUAAUCUUUUCCUGAUAAUUUAUAUUAGUAUGGCUGGUUAAUUUAGGUUAAUGAACCUUAUGACUUAACUAGAUAAAUAGUUGUUAUUAGUGAAUGAUAUAAUUCUUUUGAGCCUUUGUCAUUGUUUAGGGAUCUUCUGAUGAUUCCUUUGUGUGCUUGUUAACUGUAAUACCAUGUUUAGUUAGCUUGAUCAAGUUGUGCUCUUAGACACUUCUUUGAUGUCCCGUCGAGGGUUUUGGUUUGUUACAACUGUGCUAUAUUAGUCCUUGGUUAGUAAUGGUAUAUCAUAUGCUAGUGUGUCUAAAAAUGAUCUCCAUCAUGUUAUUCAUGUCAUUCACAUUUAACCUGUCUGUUUGGACUGAGUGAUCUGCUGCUAAAACCAUGCCUGUGUUGUACAUAUUUUAAAGCUUACAUGAUCUAAACUCCUGUAAUGAAUUCAUCAGUUUAGUAUUAUGUUGUCUGCUCAUAUGAUAUUUCCUGUAAUUAUGUAAUCCUAUGGAAACUUCCUUGUGUAUAAGUUGAGUGAAGUCUAUUGACCUUCCAUGCUUUUGUUUGCCCAGUUGUUCUCAUGAACUUCCUGUUUACUCUCAUUUAGGAAAGACUCUUGCCUAUGUUAUUGCACUCUUCACUUGAGAUUGCCUUAGAGAAUAGAAGUCAAACGAUGCCAGCCUUAACAACUUAAAAGUGUGGGGUCUGAAAUGAAAGUCUACUAUUGUCGCUUAUAGACCUAAACAAAUCCUAAUGCUUACUUGUCCUGUUAGAAUGAACACCCCUACCCAUUGUCUUACACUUGGUUGAUAUCUUUGCCAAUAAAAACAGAGCUGGAUAUUGGAUGAGAACCUAAUAGGCUAAAAACCAUGUUAUUAAAUUAGAGAUAGCUCAAAACUCACUUUCCUGCCUAUGUAGAUACCUCUGUUGAUUGCUGCUACCUCUAAGGAAUUUGAUCAAGACUGUUAAUACAAAUAUCUAGUAUAAUGAGGCCUUAAUUUUGAGCAUGUAUGCUUCUGAUUGUUCUGGGGAUCAUUUGAGUUGAAUGUUGGAGUGUUAUAAAUAUAGUUAAAGAUUCUUGAAAAUUUGAACUUGCCAGUAGAACUAAUAAAGUUAACACGCAUGUCUUCCAUACCUUUUGGAUCACCUAACUCCUCAUUUCUAACUUGGACUAGUUUACUGAUGGUUUCCAUGAACUCUCCCUAUUCUACAUCUGAUGAUGAUCCCCUUAAAUGUUCUAAUAUAUAUGUUAUGAAUGAAUGCUAAACAUCCCUAGACAUUGUUGGUACCUACAGUAAUUGACUUUUACCUGUUGGGUUCUGAUUUUAAGGUUAAUGUUAUAAUUCCUAAAGUGUUCAUGUCGUUGCAUUUCGAUUCUAUUCUAUGCAGCCUUUGAACUUUGUAUACUUGAAAUUUUAUGCCUGCUGCUGCUCUCAUGUCAGAUAUUGAGUGAAUACCUCAUUGGUAUCUAAACCUUUGGGGAAGAGUAUGUGUGAGUGACUAAGGGUAUUUGGGGUGGGACCUAGUUUGUGGUUAACCACCUGUCAAAUCAAUAAAUCAUGGGAUUCUUCCGUUCGACAAGAUCCAUUGCGGCAUUCUAAACUGAUUAGUGGCAUUCUCCCUCUAAAUAUAUAUUAUAAAAAUUCGUUUGCGCUGACUCCAGGUCUAACAAACUCGUCUCCCCAAGUACAAGCUACUCGGGUAAUAAGUCACACCGAAAAUCGUCUAAACUCUUGUAUGACGUCAUUAAUGUGCCAACAAGCCCCAACUCGAAUAUGACCAAUAAGGAAAAGCGAACCUGAAUUUAGAGCUAUCCUGCUCGCGUAAUGAAUAAAACGACCAAAUAAGUGCUAUGAACCUAUCUCAUAGAUGAGAAACAAAACACACAAAUAGUUAUAAAGAAACGUACCUAAUAUCUCACUGUUUUAGCGUGCAACCUGAUCCACGCAUGAUACUGUUGUGGCGUGCAACCCAAUCCACACAUGAUAUCAUUACGGUGUGCAACCGAUCCAAACAUCAUACCCAUGGCAACGUGCCACUCGAUCUACACAUAGCAAUUACCAAGGGGAUACCCAUCGAGCCAAAAUGCUCAUACUCACUAGACACGCGUACAUCAAUUACAAGCACGACACAUGCAUAAACAUAACUCUGGGGAGACAUAUAUCAUCUUGCGCUAUGAAGACCUAAGCACGACUACUGUGCAAUAAAUAAAUCAGUAUCUCUAGAGCCAUCACAUAACACCACAUGACUACACAGGAUCACAACACAUGUGUGAAUAAUCAAGCCACCUCACAACCUACAUAGCUUAAAUUGUAAAACAGGAAAUAGAUGAUAAGAUGAAUAAAUCCGCCAUGCCCGAACACUCAUCCGUAGACAAUACUGUGCUGAAUAAACAUAUCUAAUAUGGUGUAGAAUAUACAUUCAUUAGACCUACAAAUGGCCCUCUAAAUCGCUUUCAAACAUCCCGAAAUAGGUAAGUAUCCUUUCAAGAUCCACAAUGACCCCAUUCAUGACACAUAAAAAAAACCAUCAAAUCCUGAACAAACUUCGUAGUCCGCAACUAUAGAAAUGGUGCGUCUCUCAGACAAACUCUCCAAUCUGCGAUAGUACCAGGAUCUCUGUACCUGGCCUCGAUCUCUACUAAAAUGAUUGAUACACCACCUCUACAUAAUCACCCUAUGGGAGAUACUUCCACAACCUACAACACCAAGUAACAAAAUUUGAACAUCAAUGGCCAUCGACCAUGCUAUUUCUAUAGUGCUAGCCAUGAAUCCGCAAAUCAAUAUACAAUGCUUCUUCCACAAUACAGACCAUUCUCAUGCAACACUAAAGUAGUGCCAGCAUACUUUGAACACCUGAACUCUCCCCCGCUCCUUCGAGCUCGUGAUAUCCUUGUCAAAACCAAACCACAACCUUGCCCAAUUUCCACCUCGCUCACCACAUCAAUCAUGCUGCUGUGCAAGAGUUCUAGAACCCCAUCAUAACCAUGAGCCACUAGUAUAAUAAAUACUUCAUCGGCAAGAAACCUUUCACUUAAUUCAUUUCAGAAGGAAAAUCGUGACACUUAACCAACUUUCCUUUAACUGCAAAAGAUACAAACCUCGAGUCAUGGUCUAAACUACCAUAACUCUUCGGGUCCAGUUUGCACAUAACCAAACCAUUAAACUGAGUCUUCUAAAUCAACCGAGUCACGCAGACUGCCAAACCCACAAGUAUAGCUACGAAACACCUAUAUAUCCUUAUUAUACCGAAAGAACAGAUCAUUUUCCUUACCACGCUGAUCUAACCCACUACUAAACUGACCCCACUUCUUUAGAUUUACUCUUGACUUGCCUGUGAAGCAAUACCACUUUUCCAACACAUAAUGGACCUCAAUCAACACCCAUCCCGAGUGACCCCAAAUCACGAGUCCACAUUAUCUCAAUACCAUGAACCAUUUUAUACCCUCAUAUACGCUCAACAGUACUUUCAACUGGUAUACCCGUUCUGAUCAGACCUUUUGCGAAUCCGAAACUGUUUCUUUCAUCUCUCUAACACUGCACCACAGACCUGGUGGUAACAUAGAAAUACUCCAAAGUCUCUAUCACAAUUUGCUGCAAUAAUCAAUCCUUGGCUAUACAACGAACCCGAAAAUCCUUAAGCACCACACUUUAAAUGUUGGACCCACUAGAACCCUUGUCGAGAGUCGUCUCCUCUAAGCAAGUCCCGAAUAUAUAAAAACAAACAACUGGUGCUACGUUAGCAUACGAAUACUCCAAAGAAGCAACUGAAUGAAUCAUCUUCGUUGUGCAUCAUAUUCACAAGAAGUAUAAAAUUUCCAUGACCUUCACAUGAAUCGGUAAGGUGAACUGUAGCACAUAUCCAUCAAAUCCUUGCUCGAAUUACCCCGUAUGUUCUCUUCCUCAGUCAUAACUAACCCACCAACUUACCGAUAACAAAAAAAACACACAACCACGCGACCCAAUCAUCGAUAAUCAAUUCCUUAUAAAUUUGUGCACUUGGAACAUGGAUUUGAAAGAGGAAAAUUGAGGUUUUAGCCUACAACUUAGGAGAGUAAAAUUUGGGGAUUUGAAGGUGGAUUUAGACUUUAUUUUGGAAUCUAAUCACAUAUUUGGACUCAUGGGGUUAUGAUCGGGAUCUAUCCAAUAACCUGAGUUUUGACCAAGUGGGCUCGGAUUGACUUUUGUUGACUUUUUAGAUAUUGAAUGAAGAUUCAAGCUUUAUUAUUUGAAAUUGAUUCCUGUAGCUUUAUUUGAUGUUAUUGAGUUAUUUUUCGCUAGAUUUGAGCCAUUUGGAUGGUGAUUUGCAAUGAAAGAUAUUUUUGGAGUAUUGAUUUGGCUUGUUUGAGGUACGUAUCUUGCCUAGCCUUGGUUUGAGGCACUAGUUGCUUGACUUGUUGAUGAUUGCUACAUGCUAAGAGUGAUGCACAUACAGGAGAUGAGCAUGUGUGCAUGCACCGAGUUUUUGUCCAUGUUGUAUAGUUCUUAGGCUAUGUUAUCCCUCGUAUUGAAUACUAUGCUCCUUGCUAUGUGAUUUGGACCGGAUUGGUAGCACAUGAAUGGUCUCUGCGGUUUGAGUUAUAAUAGCACAUGAGUGACCUAUGUGGUUGUUAUAUAAUGGCACGUGAGUUGUCCGUGCAGUAUGUGAUAAGAAUCUAUCCUCCUAGGGUCGUUCUCUCAUGUUUCUCUCUUGAUGACGUCCACGCGAUAUGAGAAAAACUGAUCAGUGUUUGGUUAUUGCAUCUCUUCUCUAUUUGCAAACACCUUGGGUAUAUACAUGAUUUUAUCGCAUAUCUUCUUUAUAUGCUAGUUUUGAAAGGUAUACAUGCAUCUUUAUGCAUAACCGUUUGAUAAAAAAAGUGAGGGCAUGAUACAUAUCUUUUCUAUAUAUUAACCUGUGUAUAUUGACUUGAUUCUUAAUGCAUAUCUUCUCUAUAUAUUAAUGAUCCUUUGGUGAUAAAUGGAUAUCUUCUUUAUACGCCGAGUUAUUGAACUAUUAUAAGAUGUGCAUCAAUUAGGUUAUACUUGUAUUUUCAUGCUUAGUUUUGGUAUCAUUAUUGUCUACUUGUAUAUUUAUGAUCUGAGUAGGUUGGUAAGUGAGUAUCAUUGGUAAUUUUUUCCACUAUUACCUUGUCGAGGUUAGUCAUAAUACUUAAGGAGUACAUGAGAUCUAUUGUACUCAUACUACACUUCACACUUAAUUGUGCAGAUUCAGGUGUUGGAUCCAAUCUAAUUUUGUGAGUGGAGCUAUUCAUUAUGCUUUGGAGACCAAGGUAGAGCUGCUCCCUGAUUGCAGUUCUCUCUUGCUAUGUUAAUGAUUGUUGUUGUUUCAGACAAUAUAUUUGUAUUUCAGACUUGUAUUCGUGUUGUAGAGCUUAUGAUUCGGUAUUACCAGUUCUAGGGAGUUGUAUUAUGAUUUGAUAUUAUCAAUGGCUAUUUGCCUCUCAGACUUAUCUUUUCUGUAAUUCGUUAUCAUGUUUCUUUAAUAUUUCAUGAUUGGCUUGCCUAGCAAGUGGUUUAGGCCCCAUCACAACCGGUGGUGAUUUUGCGUCGUGACAUGGAUCAGAUAUUAAAUAGAAAAAGAAAAAGAAAAAUAGUGGAC
rnacentral:lncRNA from 1 species